UUAGGCUCCCAAAGGCACGUG
rnacentral:siRNA from 1 species